rfam:Vigna angularis cultivar Jingnong 6 chromosome 3, whole genome shotgun sequence.
GCGUGCCUGGCUCCCUGUAUGCCAUUUGCAGAGCCCAUCAGAACAGUGAUGGCUUUAACUAAUGGCGUGCGAGGAGUCAUGCAUGU